rnacentral:lncRNA from 1 species
AUAUGAUAAAAUGGUAAAAUAUGAUUGGACGGACGUCUAUGCUAAACUUAUUUGCAUUGUCUGAGUAUAUUAAAAUAGAAACUAUAUUUUAACACUUGGAAUGUUUAAUUGUCCAGUAUUUCUUCAUUCUACUACCAUUCUCAAACUAUCAGCUCAAUAUUUUCAAAGGCUAGAAUUUAGCUAUGGUGUUUUUUUUCACCAUAACAUAAUUGUCUGUUACCUUUCUUGAAAUAAGAUUCUUUAAUCUUUGGCAUGUAUGAGAGUCCAUUUUCUCAUUUUUGGCUAUUUUAUUUGAACAGAGAAAGCAUUUUAUGCUAUGAAAAGAAUGCAAACCAAAAAAAGAAAAAUUGUUGAUCGCCGUGCCUCAAAAAGUCGUAAGAUAAGGUACAAAAAGAUCUCAACACAUUUCCUUUUUCUACCAUUGUCAUAUAUAUCUUGCAUUUAUGAACUGAAUAAGUUUUUGAAUGACUUGUUAUUGAAGGUACAAUGUUCAUGAAAAGAUAGUAAACUUUAUGGCUCCUCGGCCGGCAAAUCUUCCUCCCAUGGCGCCAAUGCUAUUUGAUGACCUGUUUGGAUUGAAGACUCAAAGAUCAUCUGCUGCAGCCUCGUAAUCACGGUUGGCCGUGAAACAUAAAGUUUUGGCUUAUUACUCAGUAUUUGUUGUACUAAUUUGCCUCCAAUAUGAUGUUGAUUAUCGAAGAAUUUAACUUUUCUCUUACGAGCCAAUUUUGCUGUAAAUUUAUUUGGAAAUCGACAUGUGAAAUAUUCAAUUUCCUCACCUUUAGAUUAGGCAAAAUGCUUACUAAUGCACCAAGAACAACCUGGAGGAUCUUUCUUAAUAUUGUUCCAUGAUGAGAUAUUUCUAUUCUUUAUAGUUUUUGGCCUUAGCCCUUCGAUUUUCAAGGGCUAAUUCAGAGUUUGAUUGGGAAGUAAAAUCAGAUUAAUGUUUGUUUCAAUUUUUUUUUUUUUUUUUUGAGAGAAUGUUUGUUUCAAUUAGAGAUCAAAUAUUUGAAUAACCACAUAAUUUGAUCUUGUUAAAUCACAUUAAUUAUUUGUGUUCGAGUGCUUGAUUUAAUUUCAUAGAUAGCCACGUAAUAAUAUUUAUUGAGUAAAUAGUCAAUUUUCCCCUGAAAUUGUAAGUUUCAUCAAUUACCCCUUUGAAGUUAACAAAAUUUCAAUUACCCCCUUGAAAUUUCACAACGUUAGUCAAUUUACCCCCUCCGUCAAAUUUUUCUGUUAGUAAACAUGACGUUUUGCAAAUACCCCCUGAAGUUUUACACUUAUGUGCAAAAUGCCUCCAAAUUUAAAAAUUUAUAUUAUUUUUUUCUUAAAAACAAACAAUUAAUAGUUAAAUAUUAAAACUAACUAUUAAUUUUGGAAUUUGGGAAAACUACAUGCAUAUAUACAUCAAAAUAGGCUCCAAGUUCUCGUAAUAUAUUUUGAGUCAAAAGCUUCCAUACCUUGAUUUGUGGCAUCACUUCCUCACUAAAUUUUAAUUAGGAAAAAUAUUGUGAGUUGAAAGUUUCAUAUUAAAAGGAAAAAAAAAAAAAAAUAUAAACAUAUAAGCAAGAAGGUAUAUGUAAUGUCUUAAUUUCCAUUUUGAGAUUUUGGGUGGGGAGAACAGUGAAGGACUUAUGGGGGAAGGAAGGAGAAAAAAAUAUAGAAAAAAAUUUCACCUUAUUUGACAAAGUUUUUUUUUUUUUUUUUUUUUCUUUUUCGUUAACCUUUAGAUUUUCAAGUAAAUGGAUUAGGGUAAUCAGGAGUUAGUCAGUAGGUACUAGGUAAGUAAAGUCUAGUAAAAAAAUUAAUUCACCUAAAAAUAAAAUAUUUUUAUUGAGAAUGAGUUGAAAGUGUUUCUGAUUAAUAUAUUUUUAAUUUUAAAAAAAUAUAAAAAUAUUGAAAGGAUUUGAAGAUUUUUUCUAAUUCUCUAAAAUCUGUUUAUAAUACAUAUUUUGAAUUCUCCAUAGAGAAAACUUAUUUGGUCACAACCCUAGAUAAAAAUCAUUUAGGCGCACACACAUAACAAUAUCUAUCAUUUGAUUAUUUAAAUAAUAUACGUUGUUAUAUUCUUUUAUAUUUUAUAUUUAUCAAUUUAUGCGAGUGUGCUCAAAUAAUUUAUAUUUGUGGUUUAUUAAGAAAAAAAUUGUCUUAUGGAAAAAAUAAAUCAUUCAUUCAACAUGGUUGUCCUUCCUUCAUUUUUCUCAAAGUCCUCCUCUCCCCUGAUCAUGUCUCAUAAACUUUCAAACACAACAUUAAUGCUUAGGGUAAAGACUUGAUGUCGAUGCUAUUUGUGGUUAUUCAAAGUCCAAUGUGACAGUUCACCGUGUUUCUUCUAUAACUCAAUAAACUUCAACCUGCAACUCAAGUGAUGAUUUCAAGGUUGUGAAACAUGAUAUUUAUUGGUUCUGAAUUUCUUUUUCCACCUUAGACUAUCUUCUCACUCGCUAUCCAAAAUGCUCAUUUUGCCUUCGUUCGGACUAUAUAUAUAAAAAAAAAACACAGUUCGAAUCAUGUACAAGAAUAAGUUAACUCAUUUGGUGAAAUAAUGAUCAACAAAUUUUCUUUAACAAUUGAGUGACCACUAGAUAAUAUUUGGUUAAACGAUGACUAAAAUAUUUGUAUUAUAAGGAAAACUAUCAUAUGAAAAGUUGCGAUUCUCCUAAUAUUUUAAUAUUUCUUGUUUCAUUGUCAAGGGUAAUUUAUAAUCCAAGGAUCAAAACUUAAUAUUCAGCCUCAAUAUAUUUGUAUUACAAGGAAAACUAUCAUAUGAAAAGUUGUGAUUCUCCUAAUAUUUUAAUAUUUCUUGUUUCAAUGUCAAGGAUAAUUUAUAAUCCCAAGGAUCAAAGCAUAAUAUUCAGCUUCAAUAUGUGAACAUUUUUACUUCAAUUCAAACAUGUAUUUAGUAAGAAUUCACAAUAACGUCUCAGAAAAUUGUAAUAUUCUUUGUUGCCUUAUUUUAUUUUAUCUAUUUUAUUAAUAUCACUUUAAUUACAAAAUCGAUAAAUACAAGUCCGGUGAAAUUUGAAAACGAGAAUAAACAAAAAAAAUCUUAUCAUACGUACCAAGGUAAUUAAAACCGGUGUAAGCAGGGGUUUGACCGGGGUUGAACCCGGUUCAACCCCGUAUAAAAAAAAUAUUUUUGAGUUUUUUAAUACGGUUUUUAUACGGGUUUUUUAAUAUGGUUUUUUGUUAUUUUCCUUAAAUAUUGGGCCGUGUAUAUUUAUUGUUGGGAAGUGAAAUAUUUGCUUUGAAAAUUACAACAGAAUAGCAGUGAUGCGUCACAAUAACAUCCUUUUUAAAAUAUAAAAAAAAAACUCAAUAACAUUUAUCUAACAAUGAAAUAGUAUUAAUUAAUAGAAAUAUUUUUUAUUUUCCUUAAAAAAAGUAAUACGGUUUAUACCCCAGUUCAAUUGCAGAACGGUUUUAUGGCUGUAUCAGACCGGACACAGGUCUGGUUCACGGUCCAACCGGUCCGAUUUUGAUAACCUUGAUACGUACCAUAAAAAAAAAUUAAAUGACUACUUAUGGAAUACUAUCAUAGAAGGGGUACGAAAUAGAUAUUUUGUUUAUGCAAGAACUUAUUGUUUCAUUGAAGGUUUUGUGUAGAAAUGAUUUGGUACUCAAAGAUAUGGGUUCGUAUGAUGAACACAUAUGCAUACAUUUUUAUAACAUUGGACAAUAAAAGGCCACUUGCACAUAUUUGGUUGACAAUCAGCAUCCGUCUCACAUUCAACAUAUGCUGUAAUUAUAAGAGAAUAAAAUCAUGCUAAUAAAAUUGUACAUAAGAUUGUGUGUGUCAAGAAAGUAAAGGUGAAUUUGAAAAGGAUAAAAAAAAUGACUUACCAUCAACAUUCAUUGCAACCAAAAAUAGCGAAAUAAAUAGAAUCAUUGCAUAAACAAUUUUUAAAAUUGUAGCCAUAUUGUUUCCAAUUUUUAUGUAACAAAGAGAAUAUGAUUUGAUAAUUUUAUAAUGUAUAAAGUUAAUUUUAUGCUAAAUACAAUUAAAAAGCCUUUUCUACUUAUCGAGUUUCAAAAAAAUCCCUUAUUAACCUUGCAAUCAUUAUUAAACGUCUCUUAAAUAAAUAAAUAAAUAAAUUGUGUUUGUCUCUUUAGCACACUUGAGAAGGAGGUCACCUUUACUCAAAAAAAAAAAAAAAAGGUAGGAGGUCACCUAUAGAGUUUGCUAAUCAUAAGUAUUCAUUAUUUUUAAACAAUUUUUCAUCAUUUUUUAACCUUUCAUGAUUGAAAAGGAAUUUUUUUCUUUUUGGAUGAUAGAGAUUUUAACAAUUGUAUUGAAUAAUUGCAAGUUAUAAAAUAUUAAAAACCAGAUGUCAAAGAUAAGGAUCAUAAAAUUUCUUAUCAAUUCACCAAUAAUUGAAUACAAAUUAUUGAUGAUUUUUUGGUGAUAAAAACAAUGUCAAAAAAAUAUAUAUAUACACAUAUUUGAUAAUGAUAAAUGAGUCCGGCAUGAGAUUCAUUUUAACUCCAACCUUUAGCUGCUAAUUUAAUAUAUAGUUAUCGAGUUCCUUCACUGAGUUGUUACCCAAUUUUCUAGCCCUAAUAUCUUAGUGAUCAAACCUUUAAUCUUAAUUUAAACCUUAAGAGUCCGUUUGGUACGCAUGAUAGGAUAAUCAUAGGUAUGAUAAGAAGUUGAAUAAGGAUAGGAUAUGAUAAUGAUAGGAUAGUCAUUUAUGCUAUCAUGUGUUUGAGUCAAAAUAUUCCCCAUAUAUAUAUAUAUAUAUAUAUAUAUAUAUAUAUAUGUUAGAGUUUCAGAGAAGCAUGAGUUCAAAGGAAAACUAUUAUGUUCAAAGUUAGUUAGAAACAUAUCAAGCAACAUAUUUUAUUUUUUGGCAGACAAAGCAGAUUGGGCAGUGGCUGGCUGUGGGACAUAUAAAUCCAAAUGUGGCUGCUUAAUUUGGAUCACAUAUGGAUUGUCGUAUACCUGUAUAAUUUUCAAGAAGAUCAAACUCAAUACCUUCAUUUUUUUUUGAAAGAAUUCAGUAUCUUCAUUUGUUUGGAUGAAACUCACACUCACUAGAAGAGGUUGCAGUCCAAAGAUGAUAGUGUUGCUGAGUAAUGCCAACCAUAUACAUCUGUAUGUAAUUAUGCACUCAGUUAUGGUACUAGGACAUUUCAAAUUAUAUAAACUAAAAUGAAUAUAAGCAUUUCAGAUUAUAUAAUUUGAAGUGGGAAUUUUCCCACUCCAUACCAAAAUGUUUGUUUAUCAUGGUUGUAGGGUGCAUGAAAACUUUUACUCGGUGCACCUUCACAGAGAAACCGAAUCAUGUAUCUAAUACAUGUGAAUGAAAAACAUUUUAAGAUUUUCUAUUUAAAAAAUGAUUGUCCAAUUCCUCUCACUUUUGUACUAUGGGCACCACAUUAUCGAGAUAAUGUACAUCCUGAAGAUUAUAGAUGUAUCCAUAUGAUGAUUGUUUAUAAUGAACUUAGUCGGGUGGCAUUUAAUGAAAUAAAGUUUUUUCUAAAUUACCUUUGAAAACUCAUGGGCAAUUUACCCAAAUCAAUCAAAAUUUUUCAUGUGUACUCCAUUAGAAUAAUAACAUUUAUUAUUUUAUUUUGCAAAAAUUUAGCAUGUAUUUUAUUAUUUGCAUAUUCACCCCAUCUUAAAUUAAUGAUUUUUUACAAUUUAAACCAUCACAAUAAUUAAAUUUCUCCUCUAAUCCAAUCACUCUC